AUUGAACGCUGGCGGCAGGCCUAACACAUGCAAGUCGAGCGGAUGAAGGGAGCUUGCUCCUGGAUUCAGCGGCGGACGGGUGAGUAAUGCCUAGGAAUCUGCCUGGUAGUGGGGGAUAACGUCCGGAAACGGGCGCUAAUACCGCAUACGUCCUGAGGGAGAAAGUGGGGGAUCUUCGGACCUCACGCUAUCAGAUGAGCCUAGGUCGGAUUAGCUAGUUGGUGGGGUAAAGGCCUACCAAGGCGACGAUCCGUAACUGGUCUGAGAGGAUGAUCAGUCACACUGGAACUGAGACACGGUCCAGACUCCUACGGGAGGCAGCAGUAGGGAAUAUUGGACAAUGGGCGAAAGCCUGAUCCAGCCAUGCCGCGUGUGUGAAGAAGGUCUUCGGAUUGUAAAGCACUUUAAGUUGGGAGGAAGGGCAGUAAGUUAAUACCUUGCUGUUUUGACGUUACCAACAGAAUAAGCAUCGGCUAACUUCGUG
rnacentral:rRNA from 1 species